rnacentral:rRNA from 1 species
CCGUAGGGGGGACCUGCGGAGGGAUCAUUACCGAGUUUACAACUCCCAAACCCCUGUGAACAUACCUUAAUGUUGCCUCGGCGGAUCAGCCCGCGCCCUGUAAAACGGGACGGCCCGCCAGAGGACCCAAACUCUAAUGUUUCUUAUUGUAACUUCUGAGUAAAACAAACAAAUAAAUCAAAACUUUCAACAACGGAUCUCUUGGUUCUGGCAUCGAUGAAGAACGCAGCAAAAUGCGAUAAGUAAUGUGAAUUGCAGAAUUCAGUGAAUCAUCGAAUCUUUGAACGCACAUUGCGCCCGCUGGUAUUCCGGCGGGCAUGCCUGUUCGAGCGUCAUUUCAACCCUCAAGCCCCCGGGUUUGGUGUUGGGGAUCGGCUCUGCCCUUCUGGGCGGUGCCGCCCCCGAAAUACAUUGGCGGUCUCGCUGCAGCCUCCAUUGCGUAGUAGCUAACACCUCGCAACUGGAACGCGGCGCGGCCAUGCCGUAAAACCCCAACUUCUGAAUGUUGACCUCGGAUCAGGUAGGAAUACCCGCUGAACUUAAGCAUAUCAAU